CCUCCUCCUUCAGAUCUCGUCUUAUUUCCGCUAGAUCCGUCGUCCUCUCCGGCGAAAGUCUCUUAGACGAGCUAGAUCUAGGAGAUUUCUCUCCGAAUUUAAUAGCUCCGGCUACGGAGGAGGUUACAGACGAGGAUGUUGAUGAAGAUGACGACGACGACGACGACGUGGAGGCGGAUGACGUGGCGUUGAAGCAUUUCUGGCACAUAUUAUUCGUCGCCGGAUUUCCAGUAACGCCACAGUUAUUAACACAAGGCGUGAUGGUCUCCGGUACGACUUUGAAUUCCGUCUCUUCUU
rnacentral:lncRNA from 1 species